GAUGAACGCUAGCUACAGGCUUAACACAUGCAAGUCGAGGGGAAACGACAUCGAAAGCUUGCUUUUGAUGGGCGUCGACCGGCGCACGGGUGAGUAACGCGUAUCCAACCUGCCCACCACUUGGGGAUAACCUUGCGAAAGUAAGACUAAUACCCAAUGACGUCUCUAGAAGACAUCUGAAAGAGAUUAAAGAUUUAUCGGUGAUGGAUGGGGAUGCGUCUGAUUAGCUUGUUGGCGGGGUAACGGCCCACCAAGGCGACGAUCAGUAGGGGUUCUGAGAGGAAGGUCCCCCACAUUGGAACUGAGACACGGUCCAAACUCCUACGGGAGGCAGCAGUGAGGAAUAUGGGUCAAUGAACGAGAGUCUGAACCAGCCAAGUAGCGUGCAGGAUGACGGCCCUAUGGGUUGUAAACUGCUUUUAUAAGGGAAUAAAGUGAGUCUCGUGAGACUUUUUGCAUGUACCUUAUGAAUAAGGACCGGCUAAUUCCGUG
rnacentral:rRNA from 1 species